rnacentral:rRNA from 1 species
CGUUCCCGGGCCUUGUACACACCGCCCGUCAAGUCAUGAAAGUCGGUAACACCCGAAGCCGGUGGCCUAACCCUUGUGGAGGGAGCCGUCGAAGGUGGGACUGGCGAUUAGGACU